GGGUUGUGAGGUUAAGCGACUAAGCGUACACGGUGGAUGCCCUGGCAGUCAGAGGCGAUGAAGGACGUGCUAAUCUGCGAAAAGCGUCGGUAAGGUGAUAUGAACCGUUAUAACCGGCGAUGUCCGAAUGGGGAAACCCAGUGCAAUUCGUUGCACUAUCGUUAACUGAAUACAUAGGUUAACGAGGCGAACCGGGGGAACUGAAACAUCUAAGUACCCCGAGGAAAAGAAAUCAACCGAGAUUCCCCCAGUAGCGGCGAGCGAACGGGGAGCAGCCCAGAGUCUGAAUCAGCUUGUGUGUUAGUGGAACGGUCUGGAAAGUCCGACGGUACAGGGUGAUAGUCCCGUACACCAAAAUGCACAGGCUGUGAACUCGAAGAGUAGGGCGGGACACGUGGUAUCCUGUCUGAAUAUGGGGGGACCAUCCUCCAAGGCUAAAUACUCCUGACUGACCGAUAGUGAACCAGUACCGUGAGGGAAAGGCGAAAAGAACCCCGGCGAGGGGAGUGAAAAAGAACCUGAAACCGUGUACGUACAAGCAGUGGGAGCACCUUCGGGUGUGACUGCGUACCUUUUGUAUAAUGGGUCAGCGACUUAUAUUCUGUAGCAAGGUUAACCGUAUAGGGGAGCCGCAGGGAAACCGAGUCUUAACUGGGCGUUAAGUUGCAGGGUAUAGACCCGAAACCCGGUGAUCUAGCCAUGGGCAGGUUGAAGGUUGGGUAACACUAACUGGAGGACCGAACCGACUAAUGUUGAAAAAUUAGCGGAUGACUUGUGGCUGGGGGUGAAAGGCCAAUCAAACCGGGAGAUAGCUGGUUCUCCCCGAAAGCUAUUUAGGUAGCGCCUCGUGAACUCAUCUUCGGGGGUAGAGCACUGUUUCGGCUAGGGGGUCAUCCCGACUUACCAACCCGAUGCAAACUACGAAUACCGAAGAAUGUUAUCACGGGAGACACACGGCGGGUGCUAACGUCCGUCGUGAAGAGGGAAACAACCCAGACCGCCAGCUAAGGUCCCAAAGUCAUGGUUAAGUGGGAAACGAUGUGGGAAGGCACAGACAGCCAGGAUGUUGGCUUAGAAGCAGCCAUCAUUUAAAGAAAGCGUAAUAGCUCACUGGUCGAGUCGGCCUGCGCGGAAGAUGUAACGGGGCUAAACCAUGCACCGAAGCUGCGGCAGCGACACUAUGUGUUGUUGGGUAGGGGAGCGUUCUGUAAGCCUGCGAAGGUGGCCUGUGAGGGUUGCUGGAGGUAUCAGAAGUGCGAAUGCUGACAUAAGUAACGAUAAAGCGGGUGAAAAGCCCGCUCGCCGGAAGACCAAGGGUUCCUGUCCAACGUUAAUCGGGGCAGGGUGAGUCGACCCCUAAGGCGAGGCCGAAAGGCGUAGUCGAUGGGAAACAGGUUAAUAUUCCUGUACUUGGUGUUACUGCGAAGGGGGGACGGAGAAGGCUAUGUUAGCCGGGCGACGGUUGUCCCGGUUUAAGCAUGUAGGCUGGUUGUCCAGGCAAAUCCGGAUAAUCAAGGCUGAGGUGUGAUGACGAGGCACUACGGUGCUGAAGUAACAAAUGCCCUGCUUCCAGGAAAAGCCUCUAAGCAUCAGGUAACAUUAAAUCGUACCCCAAACCGACACAGGUGGUCAGGUAGAGAAUACCAAGGCGCUUGAGAGAACUCGGGUGAAGGAACUAGGCAAAAUGGUGCCGUAACUUCGGGAGAAGGCACGCUGGUGUGUAGGUGAAGCCCCUGCGGGUGGAGCUGAGACCAGUCGAAGAUACCAGCUGGCUGCAACUGUUUAUUAAAAACACAGCACUGUGCAAACACGAAAGUGGACGUAUACGGUGUGACGCCUGCCCGGUGCCGGAAGGUUAAUUGAUGGGGUUAUCCGUAAGGAGAAGCUCUUGAUCGAAGCCCCGGUAAACGGCGGCCGUAACUAUAACGGUCCUAAGGUAGCGAAAUUCCUUGUCGGGUAAGUUCCGACCUGCACGAAUGGCGUAAUGAUGGCCAGGCUGUCUCCACCCGAGACUCAGUGAAAUUGAACUCGCUGUGAAGAUGCAGUGUACCCGCGGCAAGACGGAAAGACCCCGUGAACCUUUACUAUAGCUUGACACUGAACAUUGAGCCUUGAUGUGUAGGAUAGGUGGGAGGCUUUGAAGCGUGGACGCCAGUCUGCGUGGAGCCAACCUUGAAAUACCACCCUUUAAUGUUUGAUGUUCUAACGUUGGCCCCUGACCGGGGUUGCGGACAGUGUCUGGUGGGUAGUUUGACUGGGGCGGUCUCCUCCCAAAGCGUAACGGAGGAGCACGAAGGUUAGCUAAUCCUGGUCGGACAUCAGGAGGUUAGUGCAAUGGCAUAAGCUAGCUUGACUGCGAGCGUGACGGCGCGAGCAGGUGCGAAAGCAGGUCAUAGUGAUCCGGUGGUUCUGAAUGGAAGGGCCAUCGCUCAACGGAUAAAAGGUACUCCGGGGAUAACAGGCUGAUACCGCCCAAGAGUUCAUAUCGACGGCGGUGUUUGGCACCUCGAUGUCGGCUCAUCACAUCCUGGGGCUGAAGUAGGUCCCAAGGGUAUGGCUGUUCGCCAUUUAAAGUGGUACGCGAGCUGGGUUUAGAACGUCGUGAGACAGUUCGGUCCCUAUCUGCCGUGGGCGCUGGAGAAUUGAGGGGGGCUGCUCCUAGUACGAGAGGACCGGAGUGGACGCAUCACUGGUGUUCGGGUUGUCAUGCCAAUGGCACUGCCCGGUAGCUAAAUGCGGAAGAGAUAAGUGCUGAAAGCAUCUAAGCACGAAACUUGCCCCGAGAUGAGUUCUCCCUGAGACUAUAAGUCUCCUGAAGGAACGUUGAAGACGACGACGUUGAUAGGCCGGGUGUGUAAGCGCAGCGAUGCGUUGAGCUAACCGGUACUAAUGAACCGUGAGGCUUAACCUUACAACGCCGAAG
rnacentral:rRNA from 1 species